UACAGAGGUCUCAAGCGUUGUUCGGAUUCAUUGGGCGUAAAGGGUGCGUAGGUGGCGCCGUAAGUGGGGUGUGAAAUCUCGGGGCUUAACUCCGAAACUGCAUUCCAUACUGCGGUGCUUGAGGACUGGAGAGGGGACUGGAAUUCAUGGUGUAGCAGUGAAAUGCGUAGAGAUCAUGAGGAAGACCAGUGGCGAAGGCGGGUCUCUGGACAGUUCCUGACACUGAGGCACGAAGGCCAGGGGAGCAAACGGG
rnacentral:rRNA from 1 species